ACACCCGCCAUGGCAAUUAUCCUUGAAAUUUUUGAAGGACGAUUGGAUUCUCCUUCAGUUUUUCUUCUUGCAGCAGAGCAGAGAAGGAUUAGCCAAGGUACACCACACGUUUAAUGAGCUUCUGGACGAGACAUAGUUGCAGGAAACUACAGGGUUCGGCUAUAAUGACAGUGUUUCACCGUCGCAAAAUCAUUUGAUAAGGUUUUUAUGAUAGAGAAGACACAUCCCAAUUCACUUCAUUCUAUAUCAAAGCUGGAUUCCAUGAGUAUGCUCUUUUCUUCCAAACAAUCCUAUGAUUAGUGGUAACUUGGUGGUGCCCGACAUCUGUUUGAUGAAAUGCGUGAACUAAUAUGAAUAUCAGCUGGCCCCGGUUCCGUUCUAAUGAACCGAGGCCCUGACACAUUAUAACGUACUUACCCAAGUAAUUUCUGCCUAGUGAUAGUAUUGCGAUGUGAUUAAGUUUGGUUUUUGAAGAUGACCCUGAGGUGGGAAGAAUUCUUCUUGAUGCAUAUGUGUAAUUGGAUUUAUUGAUGAUGUCUUCUAUAUGUUUAAGAAUCUAUAAGAGGAGGAAUCCUGGUUGGUGUGGCUUAUUGGCUGGAGUUCAUUAAAUUGGAAAUGCUGAAAGUAGUCUGAAUUUUUAUCUCAAGUUUCUUUUAUGAGGUAAUAAGCCAACCAAUUUACAUAUGCAGCUGUAAAUAUUGGUAAGAAAUCGAUUGCAGCUUUAUUGAAUACGGGUUCAUGCUGGAUUAAUUUGUGGGGAGCGUGAGCAUCUUCUUAGACAUGUAUGGCAGCUCGGUAUGGUUUUUGACUGUUUCAAAAAUGGUUGCUCGAGGUUGGAUGGGGAA